CAGCCCAGAUGCGAAUGGAAUGGGGGGAGGGUAUAGCAGACUCGUAAAUAUGCAUUUAUGUAUCUGCAAGUGCACAUCUGCUCCCGCGACAUCCUUUUGGGGCAGGGCAGGCAAAAAAAAAACAAGAAAAGAAAAGGCCCGUCUCCAUCUCUCGAAUAAACGCCAUUCAUGGAUAUUUCACAUCGUACCUAUGGUACAUCUCUUUGAAGAGGAUAGGCUACGGCAAUGCUAUAGUUGUUAUUUUACUACGAAGUCUGCCAAAAUCGCAUCACACAAACACACCCUCUAUAUUGGUGCGCAAGCUUUACCUACUCGGAACCCAGGACAGAUGCAGGACAACGGCUAGCGUUUUGAAUAGAUGUUGGCAUGGCGCACUUCCUUCCGUAAUGGCAACAACAGCAGCAACAGCAAAGCUCCCGAGUCGGCCUUGAUGGAUGGGAUGGCGAUGGCAAUGGAAUGGCCGUGCUCCAGGACAGACAGAGACGGAAGCAAAAAAAGGGGAUGGGAUGGAGAUCCCGCGCAAAUAAAAUGUAAUUGAGGGGAGAACCAAGCCCAAACCAACGCCAAGACCAAGACGAUGCUGGCACUGACAAAACUUUGGAAGCUUGUUUAAUUGUCUGAAAAGUGGCGCAGUGGCCGUGGAGAUGUGGGGGUGAGAGUGAGAGUGGGUGCAAAUGGGGAGAUGCGAUGGAAUCGUAAUGUGAAGAAAAAACGAACCAAUAACUGGAGGAAAAAAAACCAAGAAGGCAACUAAAAGUCUUGCAAAGAACUCGACGAAGGCAAGGCUGUUAUGGCCGGCUCUAUGCGAUUGGCCAUUUUACUUGUUGGUCGACGACCAUUCAUCCACCUUCUCAUGGUACUGUAUGGACGUAUUUAUAUACUCACUUGGUGACAUAUAUUUUGUUUAUCAUAUAACCAGAACACUAGAAAGGGGUAUCGGUUUUGGUCCCGGUCUCGAUCCCGGUGUCGGUCUCAACCCAAACGCAAACCGCAAACUCAAUUUUUGUAAACAUUUUUUAAAUAAGCAAACCAACAUAUACUAUGCCAUUAAAUUUUUACAUUUUAUACCUGCAAACGAUACGAAUCAAACUGAAAAAGAAACAAAAACAACAACAAAAAAUAGGCCUACAAGCCACUUACUACGAGUAUACUGGUACUACUUAUAAUUAUAUAGUGCAACAUACCCCUUUCACGCACUUUCCAUUAUACACCACACACACAUACGGAUAUGCCCUUGAUAAUGAUGAUUGCACGUUUUACCGCGGAAGCACUGUAGCGUAAAAGCGUUACCGCUCAGCUCAGUGACGUCAAAGUUGCUUCCCCUUCCGAUUGACUCUUUUCAGGUAACGGCAAAUGUACGUACUCGUGUCGAACGUUUUCUUUCCAGGAAUCAAACCUUGUCAUAAGGAUGUCCAUGGUGGUCCAUCCACGAGCUUUUUCGUGUACUUGAGUUAAGUUAAGUUAAAUAUUUAAUUGCAUAUCUUAUAUUCUUUGUCCCCGGUAAUUCGUAAAAAAAAUGCAAAAAAUUGAAUGAAAAUAACCAAAUAAAAAGUAAUCAAAACUUUUCGGGCUGCGACUCGAAAUAUAAAGUUUUCACGCAUACUCGAAGAAAGGCAAUCAAAAAUGAGAAGCGAAAAAGAAUUUUGUUUGUCUCUAACCAACUUUUUAACAUCACAACGCAGCAGAUACAUAUAGUUAUAUAGCUACAUAUAGUCAUCGUCAAAGAAUUUCUUACAUGAAACAUACAAUUUCUACUUAUAUACAUAGGUUCAAGAAUUAUAGAAUAAA